GACAGGUGGUGCAUGGUUGUCGUCAGCUCGUGUCGUGAGAUGUUGGGUUAAGUCCCGCAACGAGCGCAACCCUUAAGCUUAGUUGCCAUCAUUAAGUUGGGCACUCUAAGUUGACUGCCGGUGACAAACCGGAGGAAGGUGGGGAUGACGUCAAAUCAUCAUGCCCCUUAUGAUUUGGGCUACACACGUGCUACAAUGGACAAUACAAAGGGCAGCGAAACCGCGAGGUCAAGCAAAUCCCAUAAAGUUGUUCUCAGUUCGGAUUGUAGUCUGCAACUCGACUACAUGAAGCUGGAAUCGCUAGUAAUCGUAGAUCAGCAUGCUACGGUGAAUACGUUCCCGGGUCUUGUACACACCGCCCGUCACACC
rnacentral:rRNA from 1 species